rnacentral:lncRNA from 1 species
GAGAUAUGCUCUUGCAUUGUUAUUUGUGUGACACUUCACUUCUUCACUGGUCUUCUUUAGACUUUGCUUUGUAGAGAGAAAUGCAUCAAAGAACCUCUUGUGGUAUUCUGGCUGAUUCUGGCCACUUCUACUGACUCAUCCUGAUUCAGCUAAGCCUUGCUGUUUAUGUUGGACUGAGUCACCACUACUGAUUUGUGUUUGGUGUUUGCUACUGAACUGGACUGCUGGUAUCCUGACAACAAAGAGUGGAACUGCCUCAAUGAACUACUAAACAGCAAGAGAUGUAAGAGUGGGCAUCCACUCAGGCAAGACCAUCUGUGCGGUGCAAUGGGCAGCUGCAAGCUGUGUAACUGAGGAAUUCCUAGAUGUCCUGAAAUUCCCAACCUGGUAAUGAAAAGCAGCUCCCACAGACUGCAUCAAGCAGCAGAUGAGAUGACCACGAUGGCUCUUUGAAAGCAGGAACCCAGGCCGAGUGCAGAGUCAAAAGCUGGCGCCAUACAGAGCCUGAACUUAACUGUGAUUUACAAAUCGAGCAAUCAAGUAGACUGCCACUCAGACUCUCAAGGAAAAUGAAAGUCUCUGUGGGAAGGAGAAUUACAACUAAAAUCUACCAAGUUCCAACAGCACCCUUAAACCUACGUUAAGCCAGUAUUACAUAAUAAUUAUAGGAUGACACCUGUGAGAAAUAGAAAGCCAGGUAAAGUGACUGGACAGCUUUUUCUAAGCCUUGUAUCAUCUCUUCUUGGACAAUGAGCAGACUGCGAAGUGAAAAGCAGCCUCUUGCUGGAGGAACACUGAGAACUGCGCUUGCCCACUCUUCACUGCACUCAAAUCUAGAACACGGAAAUCAGGACUUGUUCCGCUGCUGUUGCUAACGGGAGCUGGAAGAGCUGGAGCCCCCUUCAUGCUUCCACAGUGAAGGCAAACCAACAGGGGAGCCUGGGGAGGCUUGGGAGCCACACGGGUACCCACUCCCUUAGCCACACCCUGGGUCAGCACUCGUAAAACUCUUAAAACUUCUGACUUCAAGCUCCUUUGAAUCUUCAAAAUUUCUGAGAGACUGUAAAGGAAUUUUGUUUUCAUGUACUAUCAUCACCACAUUAAGCUGGAUGGAACAAGACUGAAGACCCACGCAUGAGUACCUAGAACUACAACCAUCUGGACAAAGAUGCCAAAACACUGGAGAAAAGGCAGCAUCUUCAACAAAUGGUGCUGAGAGAAACAGACACCUACAUGAAGAGUGAAAUUGGCCUGUAUCUACCACUUUGUACAAAAACUAACUCAAAAUGGACCAGAGAUCUAAAUACGCAACCUGAAACUGCUAGAGGAAAACAAAGGCAUACCCUAUAUAGGUACAGGAAAGGAUUUUCUGAAUAGGACCCCAAUCACCCAGGAAUUGAGGCCAACAAUGAACAAAUGGGACCUCAUAAAACUAAAAUUCUUCUGCACCAAUAAGAAGCAAUCAGGUGAGCAAAGAGGAAACCCACAGAGAGGGAGAAACUCUGCCAGCCAUCAUCUGAUGGAGAAUUAAUACCCAGAAUAUAGAAAACAAAGCAAAACAAAAACAAAAAACCCCCAAAAA